rnacentral:rRNA from 1 species
GACGAACGCUGGCGGCGUGCUUAACACAUGCAAGUCGAACGGUGAAGGGACCGGCUUUUGCUGGUUCUGGUUGAGUCGCGAACGGGUGAGUCACACGUGAGUAACCUGCCCCCUUCUUCUGUAUAACCGCAUGACAGGGUGUCUAAUACGGGAUAUUCUGCGCCUGCUGCAUGGUGGGGUUGGGGACGGUAUUGCUUCGGUUGGUGGUGGGCUCGCGGCCUCUCAGGUUGUUUGUUGAGUGAUGGCCUACCAAGGCGGUGACGGGUAGCCGGCCCGGGGGGGUGGACGGCCACAGUGGGGAUGAGAGACCGCGAAGACUCCUACGGGCGGCAGCAGUGGGGAAUACUGCACGGUGGGAGGCAGGCUGAUGCAGCGACGCGUCGUGAGGGAUGGAGGCCGUAGGGUUGUAAACCUCUUUCGGCAGUGAAGCAGGCCUGACGCUUUUGUGGGUGGGUUGACGGUAGCUGGAUAAGAAGCGACGGCUAACUACGUG